rnacentral:rRNA from 1 species
CAGCAGCCGCGGUAAUACGUAGAGCGCAAGCGUUGUCCGGAAUUAUUGGGCGUAAAGAGCUCGUAGGCGGUCUGUCGCGUCUGGUGUGAAAUCCCGAGGCUCAACCUCGGGCUUGCAUCGGGUACGGGCAGACUAGAGUGCGGUAGGGGAGACUGGAAUUCCUGGUGUAGCGGUGGAAUGCGCAGAUAUCAGGAGGAACACCGAUGGCGAAGGCAGGUCUCUGGGCCGCAACUGACGCUGAGGAGCGAAAGCAUGGGGAGCGAACAGGAUUAGAGACCCGUGUAGUCCCUGUCUCUUAUAC